UACGAAGGGGGCAAUCGUUACUCGGAAUUACUGGGCGUAAAGGGUGAGUAGGCGGCUGAGCAAGUCAAGGAUGAAAGCCCGAGGCUCAACUUCGGAAUUGUCCUUGAAACUGCUCAGCUUGAGGGUAGUUGAGGAGAGUGGAAUUCCCGGUGGAGCGUUGAAAUGCGUAGAUAUCGGGAGGAACACCUGAGGCGAAGGCGGCUCUCGAAGCUACUCUUGACGCUGAAUCACGAAAGCUAGGGGAUCAACCGGG
rnacentral:rRNA from 1 species